GUGGGGAAUCUUGCGCAAUGGGCGAAAGCCUGACGCAGCCAUGCCGCGUGAAUGAUGAAGGUCUUAGGAUUGUAAAAUUCUUUCACCGGGGACGAUAAUGACGGUACCCGGAGAAGAAGCUCCGGCUAACUUCGUGCCAGCAGCCGCGGUAAUACGAAGGGGGCUAGCGUUGCUCGGAAUUACUGGGCGUAAAGGGCGCGUAGGCGGACAGCUUAGUCAGAGGUGAAAGCCCAGGGCUCAACCUUGGAAUUGCCUUUGAUACUGGCUGUCUUGAGUUUGGGAGAGGUGAGUGGAACUCCGAGUGUAGAGGUGAAAUUCGUAGAUAUUCGGAAGAACACCAGUGGCGAAGGCGACUCACUGGCCCAAUACUGACGCUGAGACGCGAAAGCGUGGGGAGCAAACAGGAUUAGAUACCCGGGUAGUCC
rnacentral:rRNA from 1 species